UCCCAGGCCUUAUUGAAAGGUUGACAGUGGGGGAAAGGAGGUAAGGCUGGAGAUCCUUGCCUACUGAAGUCCUUCCAAAGAUCUUGAUUGCUACAAAAAUGCGGAGAGGAAAGAUGGAGCAUCAAACCUGACCAAAGAACAGCUAAGAAAGAAACUGCAGACCUGGCACCACUGCUUAUUUUUCAAAUGUAACUGCGUCGCCUUACACUGGCCUUUCUAAGGAUUCAUGGAGUCCAUUAUUCUGAAAUAGUAUUCAGAACUUAUUUGUAUCAUGUAGUGAUUUCAUGUUAUCUUUCAUAUAGCAAGUGAGUUUGAAAGGUUUUGGAAGAUCUUUCGAAGAGGCAUUAUGUAUCUAAUAAACUCUGACUAUGAAAGAAAAUGGGAGAGGGAGAGAGAGAAGGGGAGAGGAUGGAAAAAACAACUAAAUGAUAUUAAAUGAUAUCCAAACAUAACACUGGAAAUUACAUAGGCAGAUUUCAUCUGCAAGGAUUUUAUGCAGUUAUGCAGUUGUGGAUAUACUAGAAAAGACUUUAAUUAUAUACCCUUGAGGACUUAAAGUAUGUAUUGUUUCUGCAUCUAAGCCAGGUCCUGAGAAUUAUUUCUGGCUCUAAUACAUGAUUAACCUCUUUAAAAAUACUCCUUCUCACCUUUCCCAGUUCCCACCCAUCAUAGGGCCUAAAUAUAUAUAUAUACAUUAUUAUAACUUCCUUUUGGAACAUCCAUUAUGCCAAAAUUUUCAUCUACCUUUGGGUGCAGUUUGCUUGUUUCUACUUUCUCAUUUAUUUCAGCAACUAGACACUAGUGUCCAGUAACCAGACACUCUCCAUCUCUGUCAAAAGAUCUUAUGAUCAGUGGGAGAGUGAGUUCAGAGUGUCCCAGUGGAUGUAUUGGAGAGAGAUGAACACUCCAGAGCACUUUAUGACUUUAUUCAGUUCCCACUUUCUUCUCCUGCUUAGAAGGAAAAAACUCUUAUUUCUAACAUUUUUGUCAUCUUAGACUCUCCAUAGAGGACUGCAAAUCAAAUCAUAGUAAAGAUUUGUAAAAAUAACCUUUUGUACUCGAAAUUUCUUACUAUUGAGGAACUGUAAACAUUUUUUUUUCUCAUUGUAUGCAUUCAAAUGUUAUCCAGCACAGUUCUAACUUCUUAAAGAUUAGACACAAUAUAUAUUUUGAAAUGCAUUUCCUCAAGAUACAGUGAAAAACAAACCAGUAAGUGUUAGUUUAAGCAUAGAUUGAAGUCUUUAAAUGUAGAAUGUAUAAUCCAUGUGUGGAGGCUGAAUUAUGCAUCCUCUCCUCUCCCUUCCUUCCCAGUAUACAUCUUGAAUGCAAAUAUUUCUUAAAAGCUGGGAUCAUGGUACUUUAAUGUCUGAAACUGAUGGAAACAGUACUGGUUCCUUUACUUUAAAGAUAACUUUGUAAUAUCAGCUAAAGACAAGAAAUUUGUACAUACAUAGCAUUUUCUUGCUAAGGAAGAGAUUGUUUCUAAGAUAACUUUUCCUUAUGAUACACUUAUUGAAGUGCGCUGGAAAAUUAAUUUCCAAUUCCACACCACCCGUGAUCAGCCACCUCUGUUCUGUAUUUUCAUAAUGCAAGAUGUUUAUUGCUUCUGCAGUAUUCUACUACGUUAAUACAAUCUUCCAGCCUUUGAUCGUACUUGCAAAGAAGAAAUAAAGAGUGUGAAACAUGAUGAAAAACUCAGAGAAAUCCAGGAAGUCAUCGGGUUAGGCUACCUGGCUUACAGCCUCACACUUUUGAAUGACUUGCUGAGAAACAGCGUUUUAGAAAAUUAGAUCAAAUUAUUACAAAACAUGUGGACUGAACGUGAACCUGGAAGGUGAAGGAAAAGAGAUACUUAAUUAUGUAUGACAGUUAUGGCUGAGAAGGUUUAAUAUAAGAAGGAAUUUGAGGCUAGGUAGAGAUUUUUGAUAGCUAAGUAACUCGGACAUUUCUAUGGAUGGUAAGCAUGACAAAGAAAUCCUUUUAUAUUCACUAAUUGCUUCAGCAUUCAUUGUUUCCUUGCAGCGUUGGAUCAGUUUCUGCAAGGAUAUAUCAAUGCAUCACUGUAGGUUUUGCAGAUACUUUCUUGGGCAUAGAAUCUGUCCAAAGAAUUUGCAGGGAAGAUUGCAGUGCCAAGCACUGAAACUUUUUUACAGUAAUUUGAUUCAAUUUGUUGUAGUUGGACUUAAAAAGAUAACCCUCUUACUGCAUGCUUGAAUGCCCACAGGGCAUUUUGUAGGGAAAUCAGCAAGCUAUUCUAUCAGCGAGCUAUUCCAUCAGCAAUACAUUCUUGCUUUUACCUCCUAUGAUGUAUAACUAUAAAUUGUAUGUUAAUACUUAUAUUACUUACAUUAAUACUUAUAUUACUUCUUUCUAUAUGCACCUGAAGAAUACACAUCAGAGAAGUCCUCUACAAAACAGUGUCUUUUAUACCUCAAGCUGACAGUGUAUAUGAAUCUUGGAAGAGAUGGAUACAAACUUUAUUCUUAUUGUCCCUCUAAAACAUUGUGCUGUGCUGCACAGUGACCACAGAAGAGUUUAUAUGUGACCUCAGCUAUGAUGAGAUCCCUUCCCCUCCCCUUCUCCCUACCUCAAAAAAAAGUACUUGCAAUCACAAUGAUAACUAUAUCUAAAGUAUGAUUUGCAUAGGUAGCUGAUUAAUUUUUUUCUAGUAUGUCUCUUGUAAUCAAUUUAGUGUUAUUAGAGGCUGCAGGAUUAGUUCAUCAUUCUCCAGCAAUUGUUUUAUCAUUACACCUCUAACCUACAGGCCUGCUUCUACUGUGACUGAGAUUCUCUGGUCAGUUAAAUCACAUAUCCCUUCGUGGUAAGUGCUGUGAAAGCAUAAUUGUAAGGACUUGACUAAGACCAUAAAUUUAGAACAAAAAUAAUACUGUCUAUAAGACUUUCAAUAUUAUAUCCCCCAGACUGAAUAGUACAAUUCUGGUAAAUCUCAUGCUAUUAGAGGCUGACGUAUUGUGUUCGAAUCUCACAGAGCAUACUUCAAAGCUGUGUUUACUUUUCCUAAGUACUAUGGCCAUCUCAUUCCAUUAUAUCUUAUUUUCAUAUCUUCAAAAUACUGAUCAAUGUAAUUGCUUUCUUGCCAUAAGACAUCUGGCUUUAUUUAU